UGGGGAAUUUUGGACAAUGGGCGCAAGCCUGAUCCAGCCAUUCCGCGUGCAGGAUGAAGGCCCUCGGGUUGUAAACUGCUUUUGUACGGAACGAAACGGCGCUUUCUAAUACAGAGCGCUAAUGACGGUACCGUAAGAAUAAGCACCGGCUAACUACGUGCCACCAGCCGCGGUAAUACAGAGGGUGCAAGCGUUAAUCGGAUUUACUGGGCGUAAAGCGGGCGUAGGCGGUUCAGUAUGUCGGUCGUGAAAUCCCCGGGCUUAACCUGGGAACUGCGGCCGAAACUGCUGGGCUCGAGUGUGGCAGAGGGCGGUGGAAUUCCGGGUGUAGCGGUGAAAUGCGUAGCGAUCCGGAGGAACAUCAAUGGCGAAGGCAGCUGCCUGGGCCACAACUGACGCUGAGGUACGAAAGCGUGGGGAGCAAA
rnacentral:rRNA from 1 species